GCAAGUUGAACGCGAAAGUUUUCUUCGGAAAACGAGUAGAGUAGCAGACGGGUGAGGAAUGCAUAGGUAAUCUACACUUGAGUGGGGGACAACUCGUCGAAAGAUGGGCUAAUCCCGCAUAAUAUUUCGACUUAUAAUGGUUGAAAUCAAAGGGGGGGCUCCUUCGGGACCUCUCGCUUGAGGAUGAGCUUAUGUCCUAUUAGUUUGUUGGCAGGGUAAUGGCCUACCAAGACUAUGAUGGGUAGCCGGGCUGAGAGGCUGAUC
rnacentral:rRNA from 1 species